UACAGAGGUCUCAAGCGUUGUUCGGAUUCAUUGGGCGUAAAGGGCGCGUCGGCGGGCUCGCAAGUCCGGGGUGAAAGCCCCCAGCUCAACUGGGGAAGCGCCUUGGAUACUGCGGGCCUCGAGGGGGGUAGGGGCGCGCGGAACUUCCGGUGGAGCGGUGAAAUGCGUAGAUAUCGGAAGGAACACCGGUGGCGAAAGCGGCGCGCUGGACCCCUUCUGACGCUGAGGCGCGAAAGCCAGGGGAGCAAACGGG
rnacentral:rRNA from 1 species